UACGUAGGGAGCCAGCGUUGUCCGGAUUUACUGGGUGUAAAGGGCGCGUAGGCGGACCGGUCAGUCAGAGGUGAAAUCCCGCAGCUUAACUGCGGAGCUGCCUUUGAUACUGCCGGCCUUGAGUUCAGAAGAGAGAGAUGGAAUUCCAGGUGUAGUGGUGAAAUACGUAGAUAUCUGGAAGAACACCAGUGGCGAAGGCGAUCUCUUGGUCUGUAACUGACGCUGAGGCGCGAAAGCGUGGGUAGCAAACAGG
rnacentral:rRNA from 1 species